GACAGAGGGUGCAAACGUUGCUCGGAAUCACUGGGCGUAAAGGGCGUGUAGGCGGGAAGGAAAGUCAGAUGUGAAAUCCCUGGGCUCAACCCAGGAACUGCAUUUGAAACUCCCUUUCUUGAGUGUCAGAGAGGAAAGUGGAAUUCCUGGUGUAGAGGUGAAAUUCGUAGAUAUCAGGAGGAACACCGGUGGCGAAGGCAGGUCACUGGGCCGCAACUGACGCUGAGGAGCGAAAGCAUGGGGAGCGAACAGG
rnacentral:rRNA from 1 species